CCAAGGUCUGGGCACGGACAUGCUGGAAACCCAGACACAGCGGAUGGAAUUGCCAUGGGAACGGGCCCCUUGACAACGAUUUCAUACUCAAGAGAAGAAAAGAGAGCAAUAUCUCCCCAGUCUGCUUCUUUAUUCGCUUUCUUUGAGAUUCUCUCAUAUUCUGGUUCUCUCUCAUCCUCGUCUUCUCUCGCUUUCACUUUUUCCUCCGAUUCUAAUUUGGAUUAUAUGCCUUUUCAUUUUUACAAGACAAAUAUCAUUCGCUUUUUUUUUAAGAGCUGGGCUGUAUCUCCGUGAAACCCUGUGAUUGUGGAAAUAUGUCAGGGAUUUUUGCUAGACUGUUUUUAUUGUAUUAGCAAUGUGUGUGGUUUAGGAAAAUCGGAUGCUUUGUGUUAUUACAAGAAAAAAAAGGGCAUGUGCAUGUCAGCUACUUUAUUUGUGGUUGAUUCUUUAUGGUCUUAUAAAAGUCUAUAACGUACUUUAGUUAACAUUUCUCAAUGGUAGUGUAAAAAACACGUUUACCCUGACAAAAUUAGCUUUGUUUUUAGGAGGGAUUCUAGUGGUCCAUGUUGCUUUAAAUGCUAAUGAGCUCUGCUAACCCCGCCCCUCUCUUCCGUGGAGUGACGAGCCGUUCUCAUGACAGUUUACUUUAGUCAUGGAACUUGCUAAAUGGCACAUACUAGGAAGUAUAAAAAAACAACAACAACCUUAUACUCACUUCUUCUGUAGAUGAAGUUAGAUAACGUAUGAUUUGCGCAAACAUAGAUGCAUUUAUGUAGAUUGGGAUCGGCGCAUUCCCUUCAGAACGAAACUAACGUCGAUCCUCCUCGUCUUCAGCAGCUCAGAUAUCGGGACUCACUCAGGCCGGGUCUAAGGCAUUGCCAGCGGCCUGAAUAUUUGUGGCAGGAGCUUGUCGCUGAGACAGGAGGGAAGAACCUAAUCUUCGCGCACAUCCGGGAAGCGUAAUCCGUUCAAAGUGGCACCUCACGCAGGAGAAGAACAAAAAUUACCAUUCAUCUUCCAUCAAGGCGCGCAGCUAAAGCUGCGUUUCAUCUCCUCGACUGACUCAGCUGCGGAGAAGGUGCCGAAUGCGCGGCACAGACAGCGAAUGUGACAUCUGAUUUGUAGGCUGUCUAAUCACAGGAGAGGGUGUACAUUUUCUCUCGGAGAGAGCAGAGGAGAGCCUGGCCUAAUUGAACGCGAGGAGAAGCCGUUCAGAGAUCGCAGGUUGUUUACAGUACAGCACCCUGGAAACCACUCGCAGCGCCCUAGAAUCACAUCAGAGACUUCUGCACGGGCGAGUACCAUUCGUAUUUCCUUCUGAAAUCGAGUUUGUUUGGUAUUUGUUUCUUUUCUCCCGAGGAAACAACCUCUGAGCUGUAAUAAAAAGUUCCUGCUGAUGCACAUAUGACACUGAAGUCAGCAUUACUCGCCCGUAACUCUCUAAUAGCGAGUAUGCGUGGGGUCGGAGGUGACUAGCCCGUGAUGUGAUGCACCAGAUUCCUCCAUGACAACGGCAGCUCUGUGUGUCGGCUCCUGAGGCGCCCUGCGCAGCGAGACUCGAUGCACACGGCCUCCGAACCGCCGUCUGGAACUGAUUAAUGACAGUUUGCCUUCUCUUUUCUUACAUUCCUUUCUUAAAGGGCGUUCACACUGACAGCGAUUUGCGUCCGUAAGACAUUCGUCUAUAAUGAGAGUUGGCAAUAUGACUGACAGGGACCGUUAGCGGGACCGCCUACUAGCAUCAACAGCACAAUUAGAGCCUGUAUAGAUUUACAUACUAACAUACCACUCAUACUCUUUCGGCAGUGUUUAGUAUGCUUGUUGUGUACAGGAUGCUAAUGUUCUAUAUAUGUGGUGGGAACACUUACAAAGUAGUACGUUUGAGAAAAUGUACACGACAGAGAACAGUUCAACAAUGCAAUGCACUCGACAUGACUGUCCAGUUCUGGCAUAGAUUUUUUAAACAUUUUUAA